GGGUAGGUAGUCUAUAGAGGAUAUUUCGCUGAAGCCGAAAGGGAGAGGAUUACUCCUCCCAACCCA
rnacentral:tRNA from 1 species